rnacentral:rRNA from 1 species
AGCGAACGCUGGCGGCAGGCCUAACACAUGCAAGUCGAACGAACCUUUCGGGGUUAGUGGCGGACGGGUGAGUAACACGUGGGAACGUGCCUUUAGGUUCGGAAUAACUCAGGGAAACUUGUGCUAAUACCGAAUGUGCCCUUCGGGGGAAAGAUUAAUCGCCUUUAGAGCGGCCCGCGUCUGAUUAGCUAGUUGGUUGAGGUAAUGGCUCACCAAGGCGACGAUCAGUAGCUGGUCUGAGAGGAUGAUCAGCCACAUUGGGACGGAGACACGGCCCAAACUCCUACGGGAGGCAGCAGUGGGGAAUCUUGCGCAAUGGGCGAAAGCCUGACGCAGCCAUGCCGCGUGAAUGAUGAAGGUCUUAGGAUUGUAAAAUUCUUUCACCGGGGACGAUAAUGACGGUACCCGGAGAAGAAGCCCCGGCUAACUUCGUG